GUGGGGAAUAUUGGACAAUGGGCGCAAGCCUGAUCCAGCCAUGCCGCGUGAGUGAUGAAGGCCUUAGGGUUGUAAAGCUCUUUCGUCAGGGAAGAUAAUGACGGUACCUGAAGAAGAAGCCCCGGCUAACUGCGUGCCAGCAGCCGCGGUAAUACGAAGGGGGCUAGCGUUGCUCGGAAUCACUGGGCGUAAAGCGCACGUAGGCGGCUUUCUAAGUCAGGGGUGAAAUCCUGGAGCUCAACUCCAGAACUGCCUUUGAUACUGGAGAGCUUGAGUUCGGGAGAGGUGAGUGGAACUGCGAGUGUAGAGGUGAAAUUCGUAGAUAUUCGCAAGAACACCAGUGGCGAAGGCGGCUCACUGGCCCGAUACUGACGCUGAGGUGCGAAAGCGUGGGGAGCAAACAGGAUUAGAAACCCGAGUAGUCC
rnacentral:rRNA from 1 species